GGUUCAGGAUUAACGCUGGCGGCGUGCCUAACACAUGCAAGUCGAACGGAAUAUCUUCGGAUAUUUAGUGGCGAACGGGUGAGUAAAGUACAGGUAAUGUACCUCCGUACUGCGAAUAACAAGCUGAAAAGUUUGCUAAUACGGAAUAGUUUCUUCGAGAGGCAUCUUUUGAAGAAUAAAGAUUUAUCGUGCGGAGAUCAGCCUGUAUCCUAUUAGUUAGUUGGUGGGGUAAUGGCCUACCAAGACGACGAUGGGUAACUGGUCUGAGAGGAUGAGCAGUCACAUUGGAACUGAGAUACGGUCCAAACUCCUACGGGAGGCAGCAGUGAGGAAUUUUGCGCAAUGGGGGAAACCCUGACGCCAGCAACGCCGCGUGAGUGAUGACGGCCUUCGGGUUGUAAAGCUCUGUCGUGUGUGACGAGUAGGGACGGUAACACACAAGGAAGCCUCGGCUAACUACGUGCCAGCCGCCGC
rnacentral:rRNA from 1 species